rnacentral:lncRNA from 1 species
CAGGGAACACUGACUGAAUGAACCCAUAACUCAAUGGCCACAGGCCUGGACAGGGAGAGGGCCAAAGGGGUCUGAAGCUGCUGGGUGAAUGAGAACAUCCUUUGACUUUGAUGCAAAAGUCACCGGCACUUCCCAGCCACCUGUGGCACCACCAGGCCUCCAGGAACACCACCACCCUCUAAAGUGCUGUCGCAAUGAGAGAAACUCUCUAGGUCUGUUCCAGAGAACACGGCUGAGGCCACUGGAGCUUGCCCCCUCUGUGAUUUGCUAGUGAGAUAUCUGACUGGAAAAGUGGUCCCUGUCUGUGUGAUGCUGGUGCAUGCUUCAAAAGGCUGGGACCUCAAAAGCAGCGAUGACUCAAUAGCCCAGGGAAGGAAGAACUCGCUGUACAAAACAAGACUGAGCAUGGAAAACAAGAGGACUGCACAGUCAACCACCAAAGUGAUUUGAAAUCAGGCGCGUUUUGUUUCUUUGACUAUAUAAAUGACAUCAUUUUCACCAAGAUAAAAAGUGAAACUAAAGAUGAAUGUUGCAGGACAAUGGAAAGAAACUCUUCCGGUCAGUCCUCAGGCCCCUGCUAUGUGUGUGUGCUCAAUGAAUGUCUUUAGAACAGGGGCAGGAAAAACAGAGGGUAGAAGAUAGAACACUUGAAAAAUAAUAAAGAAGUA